GACGAACGCUGGCGGCGUGCUUAACACAUGCAAGUCGAGCGGUAAGGCCCUUUCGGGGGUACACGAGCGGCGAACGGGUGAGUAACACGUGGGUGACCUGCCCUCAGCUCUGGGAUAAGCCUGGGAAACUGGGUCUAAUACCGGAUAUGACUCCAUGACGCAUGUUGUGGGGUGGAAAGCCUUGUGCGGCUGAGGAUGGGCCCGCGGCCUAUCAGCUUGUUGGGGGGUGAUGGCCUACCAAGGCGACGACGGGUAGCCGGCCUGAGAGGGCGACCGGCCACACUGGGACUGAGACACGGCCCAGACUCCUACGGGAGGCAGCAGUGGGGAAUCUUGCGCAAUGGGCGAAAGCCUGACGCAGCGACGCCGCGUGAGGGAUGACGG
rnacentral:rRNA from 1 species